rnacentral:snRNA from 9 species
AUACUCAAUUGGCCUAGGGAUACCGUGAGCGUGCAGGCGGUUCCCCCAGGGUGAGGCUGCUCCAUUGCACUGCGGAUUGGUUGACCCUUGCGAUUAUUUUUGUUUUUUAUAAGUUUCACUUUUACCGUGUGUGGCUUGCACACACACACACACACA